ensembl:lncRNA
CAGGGAGGCCUGUGGGGAGGGGGUCCUAUGUUGCUUUUUGUCUGUGGAUCACUCCUAUGGGCAGGAGCCUUGCAGCCACUUUGUGCUGGAAGGACAGAGGUGCUCUCUUUCUCUCACGAUGACCUGAGUGAGCUAUUCUUAGAUUCUCCCUUACUUCUCCCACCUCUACUCCCUCUUCCUUACCCUUCCAUCUUGUAAAAACAUCACCACUGCUUAGGUAUUUCAUAGGGAAAUUUCAAACUGUGCUGAAUAAGUUUCCCAGAAAACAAAUGAAAACUAUACUUUCCUUUCCUUCCCCAGGCAGUGAUUAGCCAUGUAGUCUGGAAAACGGUUUUGAAAGUAGAAAUAUUUAGAGAGCUAACGUCCUUGCUCUCUUCCCAACCGCACUCAGAUAACAGGCGAAUGGCAGCUAGUCCUCUCAAGCUCAGUGCUCUGGCUGCUGCUUCCUCCCUGUGCCCCCAUCUGGCCCCCCUCUUCACGACACUUCUUCUCAGCUACAAGAACAGGUUAUCAAGGUGAUAAUAAGCGAGAAAAUGUUCCAGCCUUGUUUUAAACCUCAGCCACAUCGCACUGCUUAAUCGAGGUUAAAAGCCUGUGUGAACCUGUGUUUUCUACCCCUCUGGCCACGCAGCCCUAAAGCCAGCCUGAUCCGGCCUUGGCUCGCCCCUCUCCGCCAGAGACCAGCUGGUGAGGAUGAUUGAGGUGGCCCCAGCCUCCCAGCUGCUGCUGACUUGCACUUGGAAAUUCAAUCCUCUCAAGAUCCCAAAUGACUCGGGGACUGUCUGGGCCACUGCUGGACUGCGAGUGGCCUGGCCUUGGUGCUCCGUCUUCCCUCGGGUGGGGCUGCCCCAGUUGCUUGGAGCCACACUCUGGUGCUAAGUUUGGAGACCAAACUAACAGCAAAAAAGAUGUGGUGUUACCCUCCGAUGCC